rnacentral:rRNA from 1 species
GACGAACGCUGGCGGCGUGCUUAACACAUGCAAGUCGAACGAUGAACCCGGAGCUUGCUCCGGUGGAUUAGUGGCGAACGGGUGAGUAACACGUGAGUAACCUGCCCUUGACUCUGGGAUAACUGCGGGAAACUGUAGCUAAUACCGGAUACGACCCUCGGCGGCAUCGCCAGGGGGUGGAAAGAAUUUCGGUCAAGGAUGGACUCGCGGCCUAUCAGCUAGUUGGUGAGGUAACGGCUAACCAAGGCGACGACGGGUAGCCGGCCUGAGAGGGUGAGCGGCCAGACUGGGAACGGGACACGGCCCAGACUCCUACGGGAGGCGGCAGUGGGGAAUAUUGAACAAUGGGCGCAAGCCUGAUGCAGCAACGCCGCGUGAGGGAUGACGGCCUUCGGGUUGUAAACCUCUUUUAGUAGGGAAGAAGCGAAAGUGACGGUACCUGCAGAAAAAGCACCGGCUAACUACGUGCCAGCCGCCGCAGUAA